rnacentral:rRNA from 1 species
UGGGGAAUAUUGGACAAUGGGCGCAAGCCUGAUCCAGCCAUGCCGCGUGUGUGAAGAAGGCCUUAGGGUUGUAAAGCACUUUAGGUGGGGAAGAAGUUAGUAAUGUUAAUAGCGUUACUAAUUGCCAUUACCCACAGAAUAAGCACCGGCUAACUCCGUGCCAGCAGCCGCGGUAAUACGGAGGGUGCAAGCGUUAAUCGGAUUGACUGGGCGUAAAGGGUGCGUAGGUGGUUAUAUAAGUUGGAUGUGAAAGCCCUGGGCUCAACCUAGGCGGGUCGUCCAAAACUGUAUAACUCGAGUGCGGCAGAGGAAGGUAGAAUUUCAGGUGUAGCGGUGAAAUGCGUAGAUAUCUGAAGGAAUACCGGUGGCGAAGGCGGCCUUCUGGGCUGGCACUGACACUGAUGCACGAAAGCGUGGGUAGCGAACAGGAUUAGAUACCCCUGUAGUCC